UUUUUGGGCCAAUGGGGCGCAAGGCCUGACCCCAGCAAACGACCGCGUGAGGGAAAGAAAUUUUUUCGGGAUUGGUAAAACCUUUUUUCCCAUGGGGACGAAAAACAAAUGACGGGUACCCAGGGGAGGGAAGCUCCCGGCUAAAUUCCCAGCAGCCGCGGUAAUACGUAGGGAAGCAAGCGUUGUCCCGGAAUUAUUGGGGGUAAAGGGUGCGUAGGCGGUUUAUCAAGUCAGAUGUGAAAGACCCAGGCUUAACUUGGGAGGUGCAUUUGAAACUGGUAGACUUGAGUAAAGAAGAGGUAAGUGGAAUUCCUAGUGUAGCGGUGAAAAGGGUAAAAUAUUAGGAGGAACACCAGUGGCGAAGGCGACUUACUGGUCUUUUACUGACGAUGAGGCACGAAAGCGUGGGGAGCAAACAGGAUUAGAUACCCUGGUAGUCCACGCUGUA
rnacentral:rRNA from 1 species